GGAGUUUGGACCGUGUCUCAGUUCCAAUGUGGGGGACCUUCCUCUCAGAACCCCUACUGAUCGCAGGCUCGGUGGGCCGUUACCCCGCCGACAACCUAAUCAGACGCAUCCCCAUCCCAUAGCGAUGAAUCUUUGUUCCUCGUUAGAUGCCUGCAAAGGAAACAUAGGGUAUUAAUCCGAAUUUCUCCGGGCUAUCCCCUACUGUGCGGAAGGUUGGAUACGCGUUACUCACCCGUGCGCCGGUCGCCAUCAAGGUUUGCAAGCAAACCCCAUGCUGCCCCUCGACUUGCAUGUGUUAAGCCUGUAGCUAGCGUUCAUCCUGAGCCAGGAUCAGACUCU
rnacentral:rRNA from 1 species